rnacentral:tRNA from 1 species
GCCGCUUUAGCUUAGUGGUAGAGCGUCUGCUUUGUAAGCAGAAGGUCGUCAGUUCGAUCCUGGCAAGCGUUUGGUGAGCU